rnacentral:rRNA from 1 species
CAGGCCUAACACAUGCAAGUCGAACGGAAAGGCCCUGCUUUUGUGGGGUGCUCGAGUGGCGAGCGGGUGAGUAACACGUGAGUAACCUGCCCUUGACUUUGGGAUAACUUCAGGAAACUGGGGCUAAUACCGGAUAGGAGCUCCUGCUGCAUGGUGGGGGUUGGAAAGUUUCGGCGGUUGGGGAUGGACUCGCGGCUUAUCAGCUUGUUGGUGGGGUAGUGGCUUACCAAGGCUUUGACGGGUAGCCGGCCUGAGAGGGUGACCGGCCACAUUGGGACUGAGAUACGGCCCAGACUCCUACGGGAGGCAGCAGUGGGGAAUAUUGCACAAUGGGCGGAAGCCUGAUGCAGCAACGCCGCGUGCGGGAUGACGGCCUUCGGGUUGUAAACCGCUUUCGCCUGUGACGAAGCGUGAGUGACGGUAAUGGGUAAAGAAGCACCGGCUAACUACGUGCCAGCAGCCGCGGUGAUACGUAGGGUGCGAGCGUUGUCCGGAUUUAUUGGGCGUAAAGGGCUCGUAGGUGGUUGAUCGCGUCGGAAGUGUAAUCUUGGGGCUUAACCCUGAGCGUGCUUUCGAUACGGGUUGACUUGAGGAAGGUAGGGGAGAAUGGAAUUCCUGGUGGAGCGGUGGAAUGCGCAGAUAUCAGGAGGAACACCAGUGGCGAAGGCGGUUCUCUGGGCCUUUCCUGACGCUGAGGAGCGAAAGCGUGGGGAGCGAACAGGCUUAGAUACCCUGGUAGUCCACGCUGUA